CGGCUUCCCUAACACAUGCAAGUCGAACGAGAAAUCCCGGGCAACUGGGAGAGUAAAGUGGUGCACGGGUGAGUAACGCGUGGGUAAUCUACCCUUAAGUUGGGAAUAACACCUCGAAAGGGGUGCUAAUUCCGAAUAACAUUCUCGGGAUUCCGGUCUCGGGGAUCAAAGAUGGCUGAUGCUUGCAAGCUCUCGCUCCAGGAUGAGCCCGCGUACCAUUAGCUAGUUGGUGGGGUAAAGGCCCACCAAGGCAACGAUGGUUAGCUGGUCUGAGAGGAUGGCCAGCCACACUGGAACUGAGAUACGGUCCAGACUCCUACGGGAGGCAGCAGUGGG
rnacentral:sRNA from 1 species